UACAGAGGGGGCAAGCGUUGUUCGGAAUUACUGGGCGUAAAGGGCGCGUAGGCGGCCUGUUAAGUCGAACGUGAAAUCCCCGGGCUCAACCCGGGAACUGCGUCCGAUACUGGAAGGCUUGAAUCCGGGAGAGGGAUGCGGAAUUCCAGGUGUAGCGGUGAAAUGCGUAGAUAUCUGGAGGAAUACCGGUGGCGAAGGCGGCAUCCUGGACCGGCAUUGACGCUGAUGAGCGAAA
rnacentral:rRNA from 1 species